AUUUUUCAAAAAUAUGUGCUUGCUUCGGGAAUGAUACAGAGAAGAUCGGCAUGGCCCUGGUGCAAGGGUGGUGCACAAAUUCGUGACGCGUUCCAUAAUUAU
ensembl:snRNA U6 U6 spliceosomal RNA